rnacentral:rRNA from 1 species
UCUGGUGAUAGGAGCGGAGGGGCCAUACCCGGACCCAUUCCGAACCCGGCAGUCAAGUCCUCCAGCGCCGAUGGUACUAUCCUGGAGACGGGAUGGAAGAGUAGGUCAUCGCCAGGG